ACCAGCACGUAUGUGGGGCACUCUAAGGAGACUGCCGGUGACAAACCGGAGGAAGGUGGGGAUGACGUCAAGUCAUCAUGGCCCUUACGGCCUGGGCUACACACGUGCUACAAUGGUCGGUACAAAGGGUUGCCAAGCCGCGAGGUGGAGCUAAUCCCAUAAAACCGAUCGUAGUCCGGAUCGCAGUCUGCAACUCGACUGCGUGAAGUCGGAAUCGCUAGUAAUCGUGAAUCAGAAUGUCACGGUGAAUACGUUCCCGGGCCUU
rnacentral:rRNA from 1 species